GCCUGGGUGGCUCAGUCGGUUGAGCGUCCGACUUGGGCUCAGGUCGUGAUCUCAUGGUCCGUGAGUUCGAGCCCCACAUCGGGCU
rnacentral:tRNA from 1 species